UACGGAGGGAGCUAGCGUUGUUCGGAAUUACUGGGCGUAAAGCGUACGUAGGCGGCUUUGUAAGUUAGAGGUGAAAGCCCGGGGCUCAACUCCGGAACUGCCUUUAAGACUGCAUCGCUUGAAUCCGGGAGAGGUGAGUGGAAUUCCGAGUGUAGAGGUGAAAUUCGUAGAUAUUCGGAAGAACACCAGUGGCGAAGGCGGCUCACUGGACCGGUAUUGACGCUGAGGUGCGAAAGCGUGGGGAGCAAACAGG
rnacentral:rRNA from 1 species